GGACGAACGCUGGCGGCGUGCCUAAUACAUGCAAGUAGAACUCACAGUUUAUACCGUAGCUUGCUACACCAUAGACUGUGAGUUGCGAACGGGUGAGUAACGCGUAGGUAACCUGCCUGGUAGCGGGGGAUAACUAUUGGAAACAAUAGCUAAUACCGCAUAAUAUUAAUUAUUGCAUGAUAAUUGAUUGAAAGGUGCAAUUGCACCACUACCAGAUGGACCUGCGUUGUAUUAGCUAGUAGGUGAGGUAACGGCUCACCUAGGCGACGAUACAUAGCCGACCUGAGAGGGUGAUCGGCCACACUGGGACUGAGACACGGCCCAGACUCCUACGGGAGGCAGCAGUAGGGAAUCUUCGGCAAUGGACGAAAGUCUGACCGAGCAACGCCGCGUGAGUGAAGAAGGUUUUCGGAUCGUAAAGCUCUGUUGUAAGAGAAGAACGGGUGUGAGAGUGGAAAGUUCACACUGUGACGGUAUCUUACCAGAAAGGGACGGCUAACUACGUGCCAGCAGCCGCGGUAAUACGUAGGUCCCGAGCGUUGUCCGGAUUUAUUGGGCGUAAAGCGAGCGCAGGCGGUUAGAUAAGUCUGAAGUUAAAGGCUGUGGCUUAACCAUAGUACGCUUUGGAAACUGUUUAACUUGAGUGCAGAAGGGGAGAGUGGAAUUCCAUGUGUAGCGGUGAAAUGCGUAGAUAUAUGGAGGAACACCGGUGGCGAAAGCGGCUCUCUGGUCUGUAACUGACGCUGAGGCUCGAAAGCGUGGGGGAGCGAACAGGAUUAGAUACCCUGGUAGUCCACGCCGUAAACGAUGAGUGCUAGGUGUUAGGGCCCUUUCCGGGGCUUAGUGCCGCAGCUAACGCAUUAAGCACUCCGCCUGGGGAGUACGACCGCAAGGUUGAAACUCAAAGGAAUUGACGGGGGCCCGCACAAGCGGUGGAGCAUGUGGUUUAAUUCGAAGCAACGCGAAGAACCUUACCAGGUCUUGACAUCCCGAUGCCCGCUCUAGAGAUAGAGUUUUACUUCGGUACAUCGGUGACAGGUGGUGCAUGGUUGUCGUCAGCUCGUGUCGUGAGAUGUUGGGUUAAGUCCCGCAACGAGCGCAACCCUUAUUGUUAGUUGCCAUCAUUCAGUUGGGCACUCUAGCGAGACUGCCGGUAAUAAACCGGAGGAAGGUGGGGAUGACGUCAAAUCAUCAUGCCCCUUAUGACCUGGGCUACACACGUGCUACAAUGGCUGGUACAACGAGUCGCAAGUCGGUGACGGCAAGCUAAUCUCUUAAAGCCAGUCUCAGUUCGGAUUGUAGGCUGCAACUCGCCUACAUGAAGUCGGAAUCGCUAGUAAUCGCGGAUCAGCACGCCGCGGUGAAUACGUUCCCGGGCCUUGUACACACCGCCCGUCACACCACGAGAGUUUGUAACACCCGAAGUCGGUGAGGUAACCUUUUAGGAGCCAGUCGCCUAAGGUGGGAUAGAU
rnacentral:rRNA from 1 species